rnacentral:misc_RNA from 1 species
GAUCAUUAUGAAUUAAUAAUAUUUGUGAAAUUUCAACAAACAACAUCAAUUUUAUAGUCUAUUAUUUUUAAUUAAAACUUUUAACAAUGGAUCUCUUGGUUCUCGUAUCGAUGAAGAACGCAGCGAAACGCGAUAUUUCUUGUGAAUUGCAGAAGUGAAUCAUCAGUUUUUGAACGCACAUUGCACUUUGGGGUAUCCCCCAAAGUAUACUUGUUUGAGCGUUGUUUCUCUCUUGGAAUUGCUUUGCUCUUCUAAAAUUUCGAAUCAAAUUCGUUUGAAAAACAACACUAUUCAACC